rnacentral:rRNA from 1 species
UAAGGGAGUGAAGACGAUCAGAUACCGUCGUAAUCUUAACCAUAAACUAUGCCGACUAGGCUUUGGAUGAAAGAUUUUAAAAUAAGAAUUUUCUCUUCGGAGUUUAUUCUUAGAUUGCUUCCUUCAGUGCCUUAUGAGAAAUCA